rnacentral:rRNA from 1 species
UAGAGUAUCCUGGCUCAGAUUGAACGCUGGCGGCAGGCCUAACACAUGCAAGUCGAGCGGAUGAAGGAGCUUGCUCCUGGAUUCAGCGGCGGACGGGUGAGUAAUGCCUAGGAAUCUGCCUGGUAGUGGGGGACAACGUUUCGAAAGGAACGCUAAUACCGCAUACGUCCUACGGGAGAAAGCAGGGGACCUUCGGGCCUUGCGCUAUCAGAUGAGCCUAGGUCGGAUUAGCUAGUUGGUGAGGUAAUGGCUCACCAAGGCGACGAUCCGUAACUGGUCUGAGAGGAUGAUCAGUCACACUGGAACUGAGACACGGUCCAGACUCCUACGGGAGGCAGCAGUGGGGAAUAUUGGACAAUGGGCGAAAGCCUGAUCCAGCCAUGCCGCGUGUGUGAAGAAGGCUUCGGAUUGUAAAGCACUUUAAGUUGGGAGGAAGGGUUGUAGAUUAAUACUCUGCAAUUUUGACGUUACCGACAGAAUAAGCACCGGCUAACUCUGUGCCAGCAGCCGCGGUAAUACAGAGGGUGCAAGCGUUAAUCGGAAUUACUGGGCGUAAAGCGCGCGUAGGUGGUUUGUUAAGUUGGAUGUGAAAUCCCCGGGCUCAACCUGGGAACUGCAUCCAAAACUGGCAAGCUAGAGUAUGGUAGAGGGUGGUGGAAUUUCCUGUGUAGCGGUGAAAUGCGUAGAUAUAGGAAGGAACACCAGGGCGAAGGCGACCACC